rnacentral:rRNA from 1 species
CUUUACAUGCCUACAACAUUAACACAUUGUAUCCCAUUAGAAAUUCGUAGUUAAGCGCACUUUGGUUCGACUAGUAUUGGAAUGGUUGACCUCCCAAGAAGUCUUAGUGUUUUACAUG